rnacentral:lncRNA from 1 species
AGUAAAGGAAGAAUAGUAUGCCAGAAUCACUAAAUUAAAAAAGGUGGUGGAUCAGCUUUUCUGCAAAAAAUUUUGUAACUCCAGUUGGACUCCAUUGUUUCCAAGUCGACUUUCGUCCUCAUCCACAGCUCCUCCACACAAGCCCUGAACACCUGUUCAUUUGAAGCUCUUGGACUCACUGAGGCAGUAAAAGUACCAUCUCCUGUGUUUGAAUCAAACCCCGAGUGCCUGUAUGUAGAAGGCUUGCAGACAGGACUUCCUUUCAAAGCCCUCCUGGUUUGGAAUUCCAUGACUUGAAAGGAUCGUCCAUGGGGGUAAUAAAAUCAAGUUUGUUGUUAAAAAAGUAAGUUCC